rnacentral:rRNA from 1 species
CCUACGGGGCGCUACAGUGGGGAAUAUUGCACAAUGGGGGAAACCCUGAUGCAGCGACGCCGCGUGAAGGAAGAAGUAUUUCGGUAUGUAAACUUCUAUCAGCAGGGAAGAAAAUGACGGUACCUGACUAAGAAGCCCCGGCUAACUACGUGCCAGCAGCCGCGGUAAUACGUAGGGGGCAAGCGUUAUCCGGAUUUACUGGGUGUAGAGGGAGCGUAGACGGCAGUGCAAGUCUGGAGUGAAAGGCGGGGGCUCAACCCCCGGACUGCUCUGGAAACUGUACGGCUGGAGUGCAGGAGAGGUAAGUGGAAUUCCUAGUGUAGCGGUGAAAUGCGUAGAUAUUAGGAGGAACACCAGUGGCGAAGGCAGCAUACCGGCGGCGAUCUGACGCUGAGGCACGAAAGCGUGGGUAUCGAACAGGAUUAGAUACCCGAGUAGUC